rnacentral:lncRNA from 1 species
CUCAGGCUCGGCGUCCGGCGCCGCCAUUGGGGCGGGGGAGGCCCGGGAGGAGGGGCGGGGGGGGGUCGUUCCCGGACAUUCCCGACCCUUCCCAGCCCUUCCCGGCAUUCCCGACAUUCCCAACCCGCGCCUCACGGCCGGAUCGCCGGUGCGGUUCAACCUCGAUUUUCGUCCGCUUGGGAAGAGAGGAUUGUCGAGAGGCGGCAUCGUCGGCGUCGCCUUUACCGUCGCCGUCGACCGUCCUGGUGCCGAGCAGCGGGUUUUAGGGUGAAUUGACAGAUGAAGGCUAAGAAUCUAUGGUACGUUCCCAUCGCUCUGUUCUUAUGUUGUGAUAUAAUAAUAUGAAUAAUAAUGUUGGUAUUCGUUAAGCUCUUACUGUGUGCCGAGCACUGUUCCGAGCGCUGGGGUCGACACGGGGGAAUCGGGUUGUCCCACGUGGGGCUCCCGGUCUUCGUCCCCAUUUUAUAGAUGAGGUAACCGAGGCACCGAGAAGUGAAGUGACUCGCCCAAAGUCGCACAGCUGACGAGUGGCCGAGCCGGGAUCGGAACCCGUGACUUCUGACUCCAAAGCCCGUGCUCUUUCCACUAGGCCAGAUGGAUGUGUCUGAAACUCAGUGGGGGUUUUUUUGUUUUUUUUUUUUGAGGGGGCACCUCUCAAUGUGAAACGAUUAAACUUGAUAAGAUAGGCCUCAUCAAGGCAGGUUUAGUAAUAAAAAUAAUUGUCGCAUCUGUUCGGCACUCUACUGAAAUGCCGAGGUAGAUAGAGUCACGAUGAUCAGAUCGGACACAGUCCCCGUCCCACGUGGGGCUCACCCUCUAACGCGGAGGGAAACAGGAAAUUAACCCCCUUUUACAGGUGAGGAAACGGAGGCACAGACUCGCCCAGGUUCAUGCGGCAGGCAGGCGGCAGAACUGGGAUUAAAACCCGGGUCUUCUGACUCCCAGACCUCUGCUCUUCCUACUGGGCCACGCUGCUUCCCGAGCGUAGUUCAGCG